CCUACGGGAGGCAGCAGUGGGGAAUAUUGCACAAUGGGGGAAACCCUGAUGCAGCGACGCCGCGUGAGUGAAGAAGUAUUUCGGUAUGUAAAGCUCUAUCAGCAGGGACGAAAAUGACGGUACCUGAUUAAGAAGCCCCGGCUAACUACGUGCCAGCAGCCGCGGUAAUACGUAGGGGGCAAGCGUUAUCCGGAUUUACUGGGUGGAAAGGGAGCGUAGACGGCAGCACAAGUCUGGAGUGAAAUGCCGGGGCUUAACCCCGGAACUGCUUUGGAGACUGUGCAGCUAGAGUGCAGGAGAGGUAAGUGGAAUUCCUAGUGUAGCAGUGAAAUGCGUAGAUAUGAGGAGGAACACCAGUGGCGAAGGCGGCUUACUGGACUGUAACUGACGUUGAGGCUCGAAAGCGUGGGGAGCAAACAGGAUUAGAUACCCUGGUAGUC
rnacentral:rRNA from 1 species